GGCCGCGUGGCCUAAUGGCUAAGGCGUCAGAUUUCGGCUCUGAAGAUUGCAAGUUCGACUCUUGUCGCGGUCG
rnacentral:tRNA from 2 species